AGCCAUUAGCCACGCUGAAGGAUGCCUACUACGAGGUCACACUCAAACCCCUGGAUGAGGUGUGGCAGGAGAGGACUGAGGAGGCUAUGAAGAGGAUGCAGGCCUAUGUGCCCUCAGGGAUGAAGGACACUUGGCUCAUGAGGCCAAUCCUGCUGUCUCUACAAGCUGUGAAGGGUGCCCUAGAUCUGGCUGCCCACCAGAUACUGAAGUGGGCAGAAGCCAAGUUCUCCAGAGCAAUACGAAGAAUACGGAAACCUUUGUCCAGUAUUUACAGCUUCUCUGCGAGGAACUGCUCUGUGGUGGUAAGGCUUCCAGUGCUGCCAGGAGGGAUCAGCCAAUGGACUUGGCCAAGGUAACCAACUAUCUCAUCGAAGAGAAGUUGCUACAGCCCCUCCGUGAGCUGUAUGGCAUCAACCUCCUGGCGGAGUACUACCGGAUCAAACAUCGGCUGCUGGAGAACCCCUUUGAACACCAUGCAGUGAUGAUUGGGGACAGACACGUGGUGACAUUCGAUGGACAGGCCUAUGACCUUACCUCCAAAUGCAGCCUGUUGCUCGCCAAAGACUUUGCUCACAACUCCUUCAUGUUUUUACUGAACCAGUCAAACACAGGACCUAGAUCCCUGUAUGUGGAGCUGAAUCACACAGCCUUCAUCAUCUAUCCAGGGCUUAAGGUCUACAAGAUAUAUGAUUCUUCCUUGAUGGAAGAGAAUUGUCCGAGCUUGGAUCUGCUACCUGCCAAGGUCAGGGCCAAUGGGAGAAAAGAAGUUCAUAAAAUAGAAUUAUCCAGUGAGAAUGGUGCUAUGGUCUCCUGCGACAUUCAGUCUGAUCUCUGUAGUAUGACACUGGAUGGCUGGAAUCAUGGUAUGUCAGCAGGCAUCUUGGGCACCAAUGACAACGAGGCAGGCAAUGACCUGUUGCUCCCAAAUGGCUCUGUGGCAGGAAACCUGGAUGACUUCAUUGAGGCAUGGCAGGUGGAUGAUGAGUGCCGGACCAAGAGAGGGAAAGCAGAGGUCUGUCUUGGGGCUGCUUCCUCCAGACUCUGCAAAGCAUUCUUUCAGGAUGCCCAUUCUGAGCUCCGUCAUUGCUUCCAAGUGGUAGAUCCUGCCCCGUUCUACAGUAUGUGCAUCCGGGACACCUGUGAGAUAAGUGAAUUACAGGCCGCCUGCGGCAUGGUCUCUGCCUACAUCCACCUGUGCAGCCGAGGCUUCGUUCCCCUGGCAACUCCUCCUCCGUGUGUUUGAGAUUCUGCUCAGGGCAGCCAUAGGCUGACAAAGGAUGGCAAACUCUUUCACCUUCUGACAUCACCCAGCUCCAACAUCCAACAAGCAGUGGUAAUCUUGUAGAGAAUCGUCCCUAGCAAGGGAAGAAAACACAGGCACCCGAGAGAAUGAAGAAAACAAUGAGGAUGCCUAUGGCCUGCUGAAGGGCAGCCAUUUACCGCUCUUUUAAGUAACAUGCAUGACCAAGGACAUGACAGCCUCUCCCAACAGGUUUCAGAGAACCUCUUCCUCCUCCACUGUAAGAGCCUAAGACACUGGGAUUGUAUUGUGCUCUACUCUAGCCCCAAAAGCUUUCCUCUGGCACUUCAGAGGGUGAAAAGAGAAGAGCAAUCUGCUUUGGCUGGAAAGGUGACUUUCUCAUUGCAUAUUUACCAAGCAUCUACUAUAUGAAAUACAGUGGUUCUGGAUCAAUUGUGUCAGCAGUAAGGAGGGGUGGGCUGUCUUAGUUAUUAAUCUCAUCAACUCAGGUUUCUUCCAGCUGUAUUUUGCCAUCAAAUUCCUUUUUGUGACUGGCUUAAAAAAAACAAGAGACCUGACUUACUGCACAUGGCUUCCUUGACCUCAACUGUUACAACUUCCCACCAAGGUUGGAGAAGGUCUGGGGUGCCAUAGCAUUUUCAAAAAGUGGGGAAGAUCUCUUCAGAUUUUCUUGUUAUCAAGUGCUUUUUUAAAAAAUACUGUAAAUAAACUAGAUUCAAAUUUUGAGGUUUGGUGGGAA
rnacentral:lncRNA from 1 species